rnacentral:rRNA from 1 species
UACAGAGGGUGCAAGCGUUGUUCGGAAUUACUGGGCGUAAAGCGCACGUAGGCGGCUUUGUAAGUUAGAGGUGAAAGCCCGGGGCUCAACUCCGGAAUUGCCUUUAAGACUGCAUCGCUAGAAUUGUGGAGAGGUAAGUGGAAUUCCGAGUGUAGAGGUGAAAUUCGUAGAUAUUCGGAAGAACACCAGUGGCGAAGGCGACUUACUGGACACAUAUUGACGCUGAGGUGCGAAAGCGUGGGGAUCAAACAGGG